CCUACGGGUGGCAGCAGUAGGGAAUUUUGCGCAAUGGGCGAAAGCCUGACGCCGCAACGCCGCGUGAUCGAGACGCCCUUCGGGGUGUAAAGAUCUGUCAGUGGGGACGAAACUUGACGGUACCCACAGCGGAAGCACCGGCUAACUCCGUGCCAGCAGCCGCGGUAAUACGAAGGGGGCAAGCGUUGUUCGGAAUUACUGGGCGUAAAGGGAGUGGAGGCGGUUUAGUAAGAUAGUGGUGAAAUCCCAGAGCUUAACUUUGGAAUUGCCAUUAUAACUAUUAGACUAGAAUUACAGAGAGGAGAGUGGAAUACCCAGUGUAGAGGUGAAAUUCGUAGAUAUUGGGUAGAACACCAGUGGCGAAGGCGACUAUCUGGCUGUACAUUGACGCUGAGGCUCGAAGGUGCGGGUAUCAAACAGGAUUAGAUACCCCGGUAGUC
rnacentral:rRNA from 1 species